UUUGCCAAGAACGUCUUCAUUAAUCAAGAACGAAAGUCAGAGGUUCGAAGGCGAUCAGAUACCGCCCUAGUUCUGACCGUAAACGAUGCCAACUUGCGAUCCGCCGGCGGAAUUUGUCGCCCUGGUGGGGAGCAUCCCGGAAACGAAAGUCUUCCGGUUCCGGGGGAAGUAUGGUUGCAAAGCUGAAACUUAAAGGAAUUGACGGAAGGGCACCACCAGGAGUGGAGCCUGCGGCUUAAUUUGACUCAACACGGGGAAACUCACCCGGCCCGGACACCGUAAGGAUUGACAGAUUGAUAGCUUUUUCAUGAUUCGGUGGAUGGUGGUGCAUGGCCGUUCUUAGUUCGUGGAGCGAUUUGUCUGGUUUAUUCCGAUAACGAGCGAGACUCUGGCCUACUAAAUAGUUGRCGCAUUGCYUCUGUGUGUACAACUUCUUAGAGGGAUUUUCGGUGUUCAGCCGCACGAAAUUGAGCAAUAACAGGUCUGUGAUGCCCUUAGAUGUCCGGGGCUGCACGCGCGCUACACUGGCAAACGCAACGUGCUUGUCCUUGCGCGAAAGCGCUUGGUAAACCAUUGAAAAUUUGCCGUGAUUGGGAUCGGAAAUUGCAAUUAUUUUCCGUGAACGAGGAAUUCCAAGUAAGUGCGAGUCAUCAACUCGCGUUGAUUACGUCCCUGCCCUUUGUACACACCGCCCGUCGCUGCCCGGGACUGAGUCAUUUCGAGAAACUUGAGGACCGUCGGCUUCGUGGUUUCCGCCACCUGUUGAUGGAAAUCAAUUUAAUCGCAGUGACUUGAACCGGGCAAAAGUCG
rnacentral:rRNA from 1 species